rnacentral:rRNA from 1 species
UUGCUGCCACGAUCCACUGAGAUCCAGCCCCACGUCACACGGAUUCGU